rnacentral:rRNA from 1 species
AGCGAACGUUAGCGGCGGGCUUAACACAUGCAAGUCGAACGAGAAAGCACCCUUCGGGGUGUAAGUAAAGUGGCGCACGGGUGAGUAACACGUGGGUAACCUACCCUUCGGUGGGGGACAACAGCUCGAAAGGGCUGCGAAUACCGCAUUCGUCAGUGACGGUCUCGACUAUUACCGGGAAAGGUGGCUCCGCAAGGGGCGGCCGCCGAGGGAGGGGCCCGCGGCCCAUCAGCUUGUUGGGGAGGUAACGGCGCACCAAGGCAAAGACGGGUAGCUGGUCUGAGAGGAUGAUCAGCCACACUGGGACUGAGACACGGCCCAGACUCCUACGGGAGGCAGCAGUGGGGAAUAUUGGACAAUGGGCGAAAGCCUGAUCCAGCCACGCCGCGUGUGUGAUGAAGGUCUUCGGAUCGUAAAGCACUGUGGAGAGGGACGAACAAGUAGCGGGUUAAUACCCCGUUGCCCUGACGGUACCUCUUUAGCAAGCACCGGCUAACUCCGUGCCGGCAGCCGCGGUAAUAC